rnacentral:lncRNA from 10 species
AACAGUACCUGAUGCGUAGUUAAUGCUCAACAAGGAAAGUAAUUUGAAGGCCUUCCCUGACUUAAAGUGGAUGCUGCUUUGGAAAGCACUGGAAAAAUGGAUCCUGUCUUUCUUAGCCAAGGACUGGUCUCUUUUCUCCAAUGUGUCCCUAACAGAGUGGUGAGGCUGGCUCUUCCCACCAGUACAGACAGAAUUUUCAAUUCACAAAUCAUCUGAAAAACAGGAAAUUUUGGAGAAACAUGCUUAUGAUAACAAACAAGGGAUCUAUCGUGUGGUAUAGAAGUUUACACAAAGAGGCAUCUGAUUUUAAGUUUUUGUUUUUUUUUUUUUUUUUUUUUUUACCGUUCUGGGCUUCUGGCUGCAUU